AGAAAAUAAAAUUCCAUACUCAAAUUUGUAGAGAACUUGUCAAAAUCCCUAACCCACAGAAUUUGUCAAAUGUUGGCUUCCUCUGUUGAUGAGUCCGCCGUCUCAAAUUUCUCCCCUCCAACGUCUCAAAUGUCACCUCACCGGCGCUCAAAAUCUCGGUGAACUCUUCUUCGAAUCGUUUGUGCAUCGAACUGUUUGUCUUCAUCAUUGCAUUGACGACGGUCGACGGGAACUCGUCUUCUCUCCGGCGUCUCUCCUAUCAUGUGUUCGUCUUUGACUCUUUUAUGAUUUUCCAUUUUUCAGUUUAUACUGAAGUUAUUUCAUUAUUGUCAAUAGCAGUUAUUUUGCUUUAGUGGUGUAGCUUCUCCUCCCCUGGAUUGAAAAAUAAGUAUUAUGAAAAGAACUGGUGUGUUUACAUCUCAAACUUCCUCAAAUUAGUUGAUAAAAAACCCUUUUUUUUUUUUUGGCUAGAGUGGUGUUGCUUCUCCUGUUGUAGUUCCUCAUUGUGUUUUUGCCUGGAAGGGAAUAGUUUGUUGCUGCUGGGUUGGCUCCUCCCGGCCUUGAGUUUUUCAGUGUCUAUAACAUUCUUUUUGUAGUGUGUUUGUUUUUGUAAGUUGCCUUUCUCUGUAUUUUUUUGGCUUAGUGUUGUUCGUUCCAUUUAUUGUGGCUUAUUUGAUGGACAAGAUAUUGCAGGUGAAUUUUGUUUUUUUUUUUUUCCAUUGUUGUUAACAACCCAAUCUUUGAUUUGAAUCCUAUGUGAUCAUAAUGUUUAAUUAUAGGCGAUUGUCUUGAAUUUACUUGACUUGGGUAAUAUCAUUUCACUAGUUUGUUACUUGCAUUAAUCGCACAAUAUUCAUUAAUAUUACUACUUAGAUUAAUUUAGUUAAUUACGUAAUGUUUAAUUUGUACGUAUACAUGAACUUCAAGGGAUUAGUUUUUCAUGUCUUAUUCAUUUUAGGCUAGUGUUAGAGAAUGUUUCUCGAGUUCAUUAGAGGAGGACAUUAUUCCAUCACUGUCCAUUGCUAGGAGUAAUUGGCUGUUGCUACUGUCAAAGCCUAUCUCUAAGAAAUAUUACAUUGAUUAUGUUAAAAUGGCGUAAUGGCUUAUGAAUGCAGGAGACACUUGACUUACAAGCCUGCCAAUUGCAUCUAACCUUUGUGUAGGUUGGCAUUGUUCAUGCUAUCAAUAAGCUUCAUAGUGAUCCACCAGGUUUGAACUUAGCUGUAUCCCUUCACGCACCAGUUCGAGAGUUUGCUGCCAGAUAAUGCCUGCAGCUCGAGCUUUUCCUCUGGAAAAUCUUAUGAAUGCACUUCAUUCAGCAGAAAAUAUUUAUUGAGUACAUCAUGGUGGAUAAGGUGAAUGAUGAAGAGCCACAUGCUCACCAGCUUGGCAAACUGCUAGAGACAUAUCAAGUGGUUGAGACUCCAAAUCAUUGUCACUAUCAAGAUUCAGUAAGCAAUCCAUGGUGGUGUCAGAAAGCCUUCUUGGAAAUAGCACAGAGCGAUUGAGAACAUCAACAAACCAAGUUUCUGAUUUUGCAUCAUCAAGAAGCAAUCCCAUAGAGGCUGCUGUUUCAGGCUUGUUGAAGAAAAGAAACAAACAAAUCAGUGUAGAAGAUAAAGAAGUUGACGCUGAUGUUAUCCGGUCAUAUUCUUUGAGACAAGAGAAUCAAGGUCUUCAUUAGCAAGCUGGUAUUUUAUUGAGAAGCUUCGGCCAUGGAGAAGAGAGAGAGGUGGGUGCAAAGAGAGGAUCGUGAUGAGUGGCGGUGAACCACCACAAGACUGUUAGCCCAAAUGUGGUUUGCUGCGAGUUUAGAAGGAGAAUUUUAGAUAGGCGGUGUGCAUGUUUUUUGAUUCUUAGAGAGGCGGCUGCAACUUGUAUAAGGCUGGAGCAAAAUUGUGGAAUCUUUUGGAGGUAGAUUUCUAGAGAGAUAGACGGUGCAUUUACUCAACAGAGAUGUGUGUUGCUGACUAUGUAGCUGAGGGAUUUGUCGUGGGGGCCGGGGAUAAUAUGAUCGCCAAAGCUGCACAUUAGUAGGAGUUUGGCACCAGGGACUGGUGGCAAAGGGUCAUCCCUUGCCUGCCCUUUGCCAUCUCUAGUUCCACUCUGCUCACAUAAUCUGCCUUUUUGGAAGACUGAUGAUAACUGCUAGAGAAGCUUGGAGGGCAUGUUGCCUGCAAAUUAUAUCCUAAUAACUGCAAGA